CCUACGGGAGGCAGCAGUGGGGAAUUUUGGACAAUGGACGCAAGUCUGAUCCAGCCAUUCCGCGUGCAGGACGAAGGCCUUCGGGUUGUAAACUGCUUUUGUACGGAACGAAAAAGCUCUUAUUAAUACUAGGAGUCCAUGACGGUACCGUAAGAAUAAGCACCGGCUAACUACGUGCCAGCAGCCGCGGUAAUACGUAGGGUGCAAGCGUUAAUCGGAAUUACUGGGCGUAAAGCGUGCGCAGGCGGUUAUAUAAGACAGAUGUGAAAUCCCCGAGCUUAACUUGGGAACUGCAUUUGUGACUGUAUAGCUAGAGUACGGCAGAGGGGGAUGGAAUUCCGCGUGUAGCAGUGAAAUGCGUAGAUAUGCGGAGGAACACCGAUGGCGAAGGCAAUCCCCUGGGCCUGUACUGACGCUCAUGCACGAAAGCGUGGGGAGCAAACAGGAUUAGAUACCCUGGUAGUCCACGCCCUAAACGAUGUCAACUGGUUGUUGGGUCUUCACUGACUCAGUAACGAAGCUAACGCGUGAAGUUGACCGCCUGGGGAGUACGGCCGCAAGGUUGAAACUCAAAUGAAUUGACGGCUGAGAGAGCGAGACGACGACGAGGGAGGAGG
rnacentral:rRNA from 1 species